UACGUAGGGACCGAGCGUUGUCCGGAUUCAUUGGGCGUAAAGAGCUCGUAGGCGGCUGUUCAAGUCGAACGUGAAAACUCGGAGCUCAACUCCGAGCCUGCGUUCGAUACUGGACGGCUAGAGUCUGGUAGGGGGGAUCUGGAAUUCCUGGUGUAGCGGUGGAAUGCGCAGAUAUCAGGAGGAACACCGGUGGCGAAGGCGGGAUCCUGGGCCAGUACUGACGCUGAGGAGCGAAAAGCGUGGGGAGCAAACAGGG
rnacentral:rRNA from 1 species